AGAAUACAAAGGAUGUUUAAAUAUGAGGUGUUAAAACAACAAUAGCACUAAGUGAUCUCUAUGUUAUUCCUGGGGAAUCACACAUGACCACAGUAAAAGAACCGAAGUAAGACAUAUGGAAUCAGGAAGAGCGAUCGAGUGUAUCACAAUUUGGCAGGGUAAAGUGAGCACAGAGCCAAACCACAUGUAAAAUGUCAAAUCAGGAUGUCCUGUAAAGAAUGAGGUUCAUAUGGAUUAAAGGCUAUUUUGGAGAUUUAGUUUUAUGGGCUCUUCUGCCGGAGGAUCCCUCAGAGAGUGGCUUCUGUGUUAGGUACAUACCCUCUUGUUAAAACGACCAAGCCAUCCUCAGCCACUUUAUGACUCCCAAAUAUUUGGCAGAGGAUUGCAAAACCCUAGCCAAGACUGUAACCAGAUUCUAUGAACAGUAUUCGGUACUUAGCAGCCAAGAUAAAAAGUAUUCCAUUCCUUAAUCAGACAUUCAUUUUUAAUUUCUUCUCACUAAAACAUUCUUACCAUGUCAAAUUGAGGCUAACAAAGUAAAUCUAACCUUGCUCAUAGAGGUUGUAAAUACAUGCACUGUUACUCUGUAUGUGAGCUUCUGCAGUACCAUGUUGAUGUGCUGACAGUUUCAUAGAUUUUUAAAGCCAAAAGAGAUAUAAAAACUCCCUUCUUUCACAGAGGAGACUUCUAAGGCCAAUGGAAUUUAAAUAAUUUGACAGCUAUUACAUAGUAAAUGAGUAGAUUUGGUAUUAAAUCCAAACUCUCCUUAUUGCUUCUCCAGUGAAAAUGUUUCAUUUUCAGUUAUAGAGUAAUCUUUUGCAUGUUAUUAUUGUUCACAUUAUUUAUAUCAGGAGUUAAAACUCAGCUUUAGAGGGGCAAGGUCAUGUGAAGGAGUAAGGAGGAACAAUGAAAAUAUGUAGGUGUGGAUUGUGUGAAUGGCAGUGCAACCUGGAUAGCCAGUGCUCUAUCUAAAGAAGCGACUUUUCUCAUCCCCAGCUGGCUGCGGCCAUUGGUAGUGCAUACCCAAAGUGACCACAUUUCUUGGAAAAAUUUAAGUAUCUCUUUUUUAAAGUUAUAUUUAAAAUAAAAACUUAACAAGAUGAAGUCCAGAUAAAACCCAUCCAGGAGGUGAAUUUGGUCUGUGGGCCAUCGAUUUAUAAUUGUAACUUAAACAUCAUCUACUAAACAAUCAUAGGGAAUAAUAUCAAUAUUCUCAACUGAAUUAGAAAAAGAAAUAUUCAGUAUCACUGCCUUCAGUGAGAGAACCUAUCAAUAUAAAAUUUAAAAAUUAAAGCUUCUAAAUCAAUUAGUAUAAAAAUUGAUUUGUCACUAUUUAAUCAAAGCACAUCUCUUUAAGGUCUACAAACACUGCUCUCUAUGUGAAAUGUUCUCUUUAAACAGUGGUAGAGAUAAUCCCAUCAGAAACAGUCUAAGAAAAUGUAAUUUGGAAUAGGUGAUCAAUACAUUCAAAUUAACUUUUUAUAAUCAAUCUAUGCAUACUUAAACUUAUGCAUGAAACAUAGACAUAUCUCCCUAGCUCUUAGUAUAAUUGAAUACCUUGUCAAUUUCUUCACUAAUAAUUCAGUGGUGAUUGACUGAUAGUUUCUCUUAGAAUUAGUUAUUGAUUAUCAAGAUACAGUGAUGCCACUGACAACUAAUUGUACUUUAACUUGUAGAUGUGGUUAUUCUAGUGUAUAAAAUUUAACAGUUGAAAUGGCAAAAUAAACUCAAUUCUUACUCUUUAUCUGUUUGACUAAUCUUCCGAUGAAUAUUCCAAUGAAAUUAUACUUUGAAAAUGAAGUAAUUAAAAUCAGGUUCAAAAAUACUUGUCAGAUUUUCUGAAACUUACAGUAUUUUUAAAAAUACAUUUUAGGGCACAUUAUGUACAUUUUUUACUCAUUCUUGGUACAUAUUAGAGGAAAAUAACUGCUCAAAUUCCUUUGUCAGAAGCAUGCAAAUUUAUAACAUUCACCUAUUUUAAUUCAUCAGAAUUUUCAUAUGUGUUAAAGAUGGAAUUUCCAUAAAAUUAAUAUUUCAAGGGAAAUAAAUCAUAAGUGAAUGACAAAAUGAAUACCGACCUAUAAAUUUUCAAAUGUAAUCUGAUUUUUAUAAAAAAAAUUCAGUAGUACAGAAAAGUGUUUAAAAAAAAAUGAAAGCAUCUCUCUUCUUCAUUCUUAUACCACCAGAGGAGCUCUGUAAAUUGCCUAAGAGGGUGCAGCUGGUUCCUAUUAGACACCAAAACUUUCUAAAGAUACUUUUCUUUAUUUGAUUCACAACUGUCUCUAUAUCUAAGAAGGGUGUGAAACAAUUUCAGGCCUCCAUUUCUCUAGCUGCCUAUGCCUCAUACAGUGACAAGGAAACUAGAACUUUUUCUGGCUUCCAUCCAGUCCAUGCUGCCUUUACUUUUAUUUCUUUUUUGUUUGUUCUGUUGUUCAUUAAUUCAUUCAUUCGUGGCACACCAAAGCACUUUCUUCCUUAGUAUUAGGAGACACUUGAGUGCUUAUUUGGCUCUGUACCCAGCUUCUAGCUAUAUAAGACAGCAAAUCAGACUCUUGCUUUUCCUCAGACCCAAAGAGCAGGCAGGUUUCUAAUUUAAAAGGCUGCACUGAUCCCUUCAAGGCUAUGUAUCAGGACUUGGUAAAGAUCACCACACACCUUUUUUUUUUUUCCUAUACUCUUUUGAAAUCUUUGUAAGAAGUAUUUUUACAGAUAUAGAUGCAAAAUUCACAAAUUGUAAGUAUGCAGAUACAAAAAUGUUUACAAAGUAGACGCACUUGAUAACCAGCAUAAGAUUUGAGAAUAUUGUCAGCUUCAUAAAAUAACCUCUUGGUCUCCGCUGAAAUAGCUACUACCUUUUCUAAAGUAACUGCUAUCAUGAUUUCUAACUCUGUAGAUAAGUUUUGCUUGUUUAGAACUUAAUUUACAUAAAAUAAGACAGUAGUGUACUCAUUUAUGACUUUACUCGAUUAUAUUUCUAUUGCAUGAAAUUAUAUCCAUUCACUCUAUAGAAUUUAAUUUUAUGAAAAUAUCUCAAAUUAUUUAUUCAUUCUAGUGUUGAUGGACAUUUAGGUAGAUCCAGUUUUUGUCUUUUAUCAAUAAUGUGGCUAGAAAUAUUCUUUACAUGUGUUUUGGAGAGCAUAUAAAUGCAGUUCUAAUAAUGAAAUUUGUGGGUCACAGAUUUGGCAUGUUAAGUUUCCUAAAGUGGUUGUACCAAUUCAUAAUCCUAUCAGCAGUGUAUGAGAGUUCUACUUCGUCUCUCUGUUUUUAAUAUUUUGUGUCAUCUUUAAGAUGUGUUCCAUUCAGGCAGUACUAGACAGCAGAGAGGUGUUUUGUUUGAUUAUUUUCUUGCUUGUUUGUUUUUUCCAUUCAACCCCAUAUAACUAUCAAAAAACUCUAUUGGGUUUCAUGUCCCUUAAUGCAGUCUUCUUCCUGGACUAUCCCAGAAUUCCAGCUUCUAGGCAAGGAUUAAUAAAUGUGUUCAGGGACAGCAGAAGAGAUUCAGAUGAACUUUGAAAGACUCCUGAAUUUUACUUUCUGUAGAUACAGCUGCUUUUGCAAAUCUCCCUGUAUGUUCAUACAUGUGAAUUUUUUUUUUUUAGGGCCACACCUGUGGCACAUGGAAAUUCUCAGACUAGCUGCUGAAUUGGAGCUACAGCUGCUGGCCUGCACCAAGCCACAGCAAUGCAGGAUCUGAGCCACAUCCAUAUCCUACACCAUAGCAGUGUGGGAUCCUUAACGCACUGGGAGAGGCCAGGGAUUGAACCCUCAUCCUUAUGGAUCCUAGUCAGAUUCGUUAACCACUACGCCACGAUGGGAACUCCGGCAAAGUCUUAUAGACAAUGGUAUGAUUGUCCAUCACUAGAUUUUAGAGAAAGUGAGCAAUAAUUGAAUCAUAAAUGGUCUAUUUCUAUAAGUUCAGUCAUAGUUGUUACCUCUUUAGAAAAAUGUUAUCUUUGUUAUUGACAUAACUAAUAGGAAAAUUUUAGUAUAUCUCUAAAGUAUAUAGAUGUAUUUUUUUGAGCUUUACUUCUGUUUUCCAACUCCACUAUGCAUCCUCUGUAACACAUUUCAUAUUUGUCUUUGAACAUAUGCACAUCUGUGAAAACACAGUAUAAUGAGGCUGCUGGUGGUGGUAGGGUAUGUUUAAUUUGAAUGAAAAUUGCACUGUGAAAUUUAUGCUGUAUAAUUUUUAAAUUUUAUUUUAAAAAAUUAGUCAUGCUGUAAGUCUUCUACAUAAAUCCAUAGAUUCUAACUGCUAAAUAAUAUGCUAAAAUGUACCUGCACAAUGUUUUUUACAUUCUUCCUAAUAGUAAUGGGUCUCCAGUUAUAUCCAACUUAUUCCCAUAAACAAUUUUAUAAUGAAUAUCCUUGUACAUACAGUUAGCAUCUGUGUGUAAAUUUCUGUAAUAUGUAUCUGGAAAAAAAUGUGCCAUGGGGUAAGCACAAGUUUAAUUUCACUAAGUACUGUCAGUGCGAUCUUCUUAUAUCUUCCUGUAGUUUCAUUCACUUGUGACUACAUAUCCUUUAAUGCUAUUGAUUCUAUUAGAAUAAAUGUGCCAGUAGUAUCUUUCUGUCCUAAUAUUUGUUGUCUAAAUUUCUUGUCUGCUAUUUUAUCUGAACAGUCUUUUCUUUCCCCACACAAUUUACUUGCAGUUUCUCAAAAAUAAAUUAAGUGAUUUUAGGAUAACCAACUGUCUGAUUUAAUAAUCUACCUAUAGGUAUCCUUAAUCAAGAAAAGUAUCUUAAUAUACAGCAGACACUUUCUUUCAGAAAGUUAUAGUAUAAUGAAAUAAAAAUAUAUUGUCUCCAAAUAAUAUCUCUGCUUUUACCUCAUUUAUACCAUUAGAUAUUAUUUCUAAAUGAACUCUUAAAAAUUGAUUUUGUGUAAAUUUGUAAAUACACUAAGAAAUAAGUACAAUGGCAUUUGUUUUGUUAUUCUAAUGGAAAGGCCAUUUGUGCUUUCUUUUUGAGGCAAAAUUGCAAAUUAACUAAAAUAUUUUAGGAUCUAAGAGUUUAAGUUGUGUUUUCCUUUUACACCUUAGUUAUAUCCAGAAAAGUCAAUAGCUUUCUAAAAAUGCCUCAACAUUUGAGAGUUAAUUGUUUGUGUUAUUUUACCUCAUUACAUCCUUCCCCUUGGUACAUUUUGCUAAUGUGACUCAUUUAAUCUGGGAAUUUGUUUUUUUGCUUUAUUUCUGAAAUGUUUAGAGGCAGCAUACAUAUAAAAUAAGAGUAUUGUGUUUUUCAAUUUUUAAUUUUUAUGAAAACUAAGCACUAUACUAACUUCCUAGAAAUAAUUAAAAUAAAUCAUAUUUUAAAUGGGAUGAUUCUCAAAUGUCUUUAUUUUGAAAAAAAAAAAAA
rnacentral:lncRNA from 1 species